rnacentral:rRNA from 1 species
UACGGGGGGGGGCAAGCGUUGUUCGGAAUUACUGGGCGUAAAGGGUUUGUAGGUGGCUUGCUAAGUCAGACGUGAAAUCCCUCAGCUUAACUGAGGAACUGCGUCUGAGACUGGCAAGCUUGAGUGCAGGAGAGGAACGCGGAAUUCCAGGUGUAGCGGUGAAAUGCGUAGAUAUCUGGAGGAACACCGGUGGCGAAGGCGGCGUUCUGGACUGUAACUGACACUGAUGAACGAAAGCCAGGGGAGCAAACGGG